GAAUAUUGGACAAUGGGCGAAAGCCUGAUCCAGCCAUGCCGCGUGGAUGAAGAAGGCCCUAGGGUUGUAAAGUCCUUUCGGCGGGGAAGAUAAUGACGCUACCCCCAGAAGAAGCCCCGGCUAAUUUCGUGCCCGCAGCCGCGGUAAUACGAAAGGGGCUAGCGUUGUUCGGAAUUACUGGGCGUAAAGCGCACGUAGGCGGCCUUGUAAGUUGGGGGUGAAAUCCCGGGGCUCAACUCCGGAACUUCCUUCAAGACUGCAAAGCUCGAGGACGCGAGAGGUUGGCGGAAUUCCGAGUGUAGAGGUGAAAUUCGUAGAUAUUCGGAAGAACACCAGUGGCGAAGGCGGCCAACUGGCGUGUUUCUGACGCUGAGGUGCGAAAGCGUGGGGAGCAAACAGG
rnacentral:rRNA from 1 species